UCGCCUUCUGCUCAUUCUGCUCUGAAGGCAGCUGGGGAGGAGUGAGCAGGGGCAGGACCAGGUUGCACACUUCAGGCUUCAGCAGCCUUCACCGAGUCAUCGACCCUCUGAGCCCCCGACUCCUCCUGCGCAAGGGGCUGCUACGUACCUAAGGGCUAGCAGGGUGGUACCAGGACUGACCUCCAGUGUGGCACCCAGCAAGGGCUGGACAGACUCCAGAAGCUCCAUCUGGAACCCCCAGAGAGGACCAUGACCAGAAACCAGCGGAAACAAUAGAACGAGACCUUGAAGAACUUCAGGUAUUAGAUCAACUCACCUUCAUGAAGCUUGCCUGACCCCCUCACCUGAUCCCACACCUGAGAUUCCCCCCAGCUGAGCCCAUAACACCUGGCCAUACACCCUCCGGAGAACACAUCCCUCUGUGUCCAUUCCACCUGGCUGUACACCCUCCAGAGGGCAUGCCCCUCUGUGCCCAUUACACCUGGCCAUGCACCCGCUGGAGGGCACGACUCUCUGAACCCAUACCUGGCCAUACACCCUCCGAGGGCAUGCUCCUCUGAGCCCAUUACACCUGGUCAUACACACUCUGGAGGGCAUGACUCUGUGAACCCAUACCUGGCCAUACACCCUCCAGAGGGCAUGCCCCUCUGUGUGCAUUACACCUGUCUGUACACCCUCCGAGGGCAUGCUCCUCUGAG
rnacentral:lncRNA from 1 species